GUGCCAGCAGCCGCGGUAAUACGGAGGGUGCGAGCGUUAUCCGGAUUCACUGGGUUUAAAGGGUGCGUAGGUGGGAAUGUAAGUCAGUGGUGAAAUCUCCGUGCUUAACACGGAAACUGCCAUUGAUACUAUGUUUCUUGAAUUUUCUGGAGGUUAGCGGAAUAUGUCAUGUAGCGGUGAAAUGCUUAGAUAUGACAUAGAACACCGAUUGCGAAGGCAGCUAACUACAGGGAUAUUGACACUGAGGCACGAAAGCGUGGGGAUCAAACAGGAUUAGAUACCCUCGUAGUCC
rnacentral:rRNA from 1 species